AAAUGUUAUACUAUGUUAAACUUUGUUAUGCCUUUAUGAAUACAUGUUACAUUGCCGUUACCGGGCCCUAGAGUUUACGAGGAAAAUAUAAGGUUAGCUUUCCCAUCAGGGCUCCAGACGGCCUGGCUCACAGGGCACACAUUACUCCCAAAUCAACACACACCUCCGACCUCCCUAGUUAGAGUAGAGGAGGUAGGUGGCAUCACCUCUACAAUGCCCUGUGAGGCCCCUAUGAUACACCCGGUCGGGCGCUCCGGCCACCACCCC